CUGUGAACGGGACCUCGAUGUUGCCCCAGGUCCUCGGGGUUGCGAGUCGACACCAGAAGAUUCUCCGGAGCUGUGUUGUCCUCUGGAUCGAGAACGCCCCCCUGGAGCGGGAGCGCCCUCGUGAGCUGGAGCGUCCUCUCGUGCGAGAGCGCAAGGCCUGUUUCACCGAUCGCCAACUGCCCACCUGUUCACCUUGCGGCCUGCUAGCUUGCUGGCCGGCUGAUCAAGGAGCGAGUAACGGACAGCGUACGGCGCAACAACUAAGCCACGAGUGUGGGCGGUCAGCGAUAACAUCGUCGCUGAUGACUGACGGCAGCGGUGACGUCAGGAGCCUGGACAGUGCCAACACCUAUAAAACGAAGGACCAAACGAUGCUGGAGUGCAGUCCGGUGGAGCGUCGACCAACGUGCUGAUCUUUGUUGCUUACUUCUAGGUAAGAGGCGCCUACUUGGUGGGAACGGUCGUUUUUCUUUUUGCUCCACUGGACUGCACUCCUGUCUCGAACCAUGUCGCCGCGAGAUUGUACAAAGUGUUCAAAGUUGUUUGAAAAAGAUCAAGAGAGUAUAUCUUGUUCCAAAUGCAAGAAAGUAUACCACGCGGGCAAAUGUUCGGGAAUGACUAAAAAGGCUUUCAAAAACAUGGGACCACGCGAAAUCGAUGGCUGGAUGUGUGACAGUUGUAGAAAGCAGGAAUCAGGGGAAGAAACGUCAAAAACCAGUGACACAGAACGCAGAGGGGAAGAGAAGGGAGGAAAGAAAAAUCAUAUGAGUCAUGUUGCAAAACUGAUUGAGGACAUUAGCCAGAAGAUGGUGGCAGUCUUGGGCCGACUAGAAGAGAUGGAAAAAAAGGUAGACAGACAGUGCACGACAACAGAAGGAAUAGAAAAAUCUAUGGAACUGUUGUCACAUAAGUAUGACGAAAUUAUGGCCACCACCGUAAGGCAAGAAAAGGACAUUGCAGAAUUAAAGAUAACGUCAGCAGAACUGAUGCGAAAGAUGGCAGAAAAAGACAAUGAAAUUGCAAGCCUGAAGGAAAACGUCGAGAGUGCUGAACAGUACUCGAGGCAAAAAAACAUAGAGAUACAUGGCAUCCCGUAUAAACAGGGCGAAGAUCUGUAUAAGGUUCUAGCAGGGCUUAGCGCCAAGCUGGAAAUACAGACAGUCGAACGUCACUCACUGAAGGCCAUUCACAGGCUAAAAGAGAAGAAAGAUAAGAUACCCCCAAUCAUUGUCAGAUUUAAGGAAUUGGCUGAUCGUGACCUGUGGAUUUCGAAGAAAUACGCACUCCGAUCUGAUGGCAUAUACAUAAACGAAAACUUGACACGAGCGCAAAAGAAGUUGUUUUGGCUGAGCAGACAGAGGGGCAGACAACAGGGCUGUAAAUUUGUAUGGAUGCGCAAUGGCAGAAUUUUCGCUAGGCGCAACGAAGGAAGUCCUGCCAUGAUCAUUACAACAGAAAACGAUUUGGAAAAAAUAAACUAAUGGCAGAGUUCACUUCUUUUUCUGAGUGGGAUUCUCAUAUAAAUCAGUUCAUUAAGGAAGAACGGUUAAAGCAGGAGCUAAGUUUAUUGCAUGUAAACAUACGAAGCAUAAAGAAAAACUGGGACCAGUUAUGUGCUUAUGUAAACACUCGGCAGACAAGAGAAGAUGUAAUUGUCUUGACAGAGGUUAAUCUCGAUGCAACUCGACUAAGCUUUUACAGCCUUGCUGGGUACUCUCGGUACGCUUGGUGUCGAGGAAACAGAAAAGGAGGCGGGGUGGUCGUGUUUGUGAGCGAUACCUGGUUGUCAUAUGAAAUUCACGUAUCCGUAGAAAACGCAGAAAUGGUAGUUGUCUCUCUUAGCAAGAUGGAUACAACUUACAUUGUAUGUGCAAUAUACAGACCACCUUGCACGAACAUUCCUUUAUUCCUCGAAGAACUAACCUCACUCCUAAAAAAAUAUAUGAAUGAGAAGCAGUUUAUUUUAGCGGGAGACCUAAAUAUAGAUAUAAUGCUAAAUUCAAGGAGGGUAGUUAGAGACUACUUAGACCUACUGGCUGAAUUUGGCUUAUUGGUUUUGGUUAACCUUAUUAAUAACUGCACAAGAGAGGAAUUUUUAGGUUCCAAGAUAACUACAUCAUGCAUCGACCACAUAAUUGUCCGCAUAGCAAACAAACAUUGUUCAUCAGGAGUCAUUAAAUUGAAACUUGCAGACCACUACUUCGUGGCACUUGUAACCAUGAAAGAAACUUGUAACCAUGAAGACAAUGCGAACAUCAGACCUAGAAUCAGGAACAUUUUAGACAACAGGAGUAUAGACAAAGCUAUUCAGAACACAAACUGGAAUGCUAUAUUACCUCUGGAUCACAUGAGGCUAUAUACUAUGUUUCUCAAUAAGUUCCACCUCAUAUACGAGACGUCCUCCAAAGCUAUAAAAAUAAAGCAAAGAAAACCGCAGAACAAUUGGAUAACACAGGAUAUCAUGGAAUUGUGUUACUUAAAAGAUAAAGCUUGGCAGAACUGUAGAAGGGACCCUGAAAAUGUAGCACUUAGGCAGGAAUUUCGCACAUUGCUAAAUCUUGUAACAGCCAAAACGCGACAGGCGAAAAGAAGAUACUUAUCCCAGCAGUUUGCGCUAAACAGGAAUGAUGGAAGAAAAACAUGGAAAUUGGCAAACAGUUUAAUGGGCCGCGUCAAACAGGCAACGAUUGAGGAGGUCAUCAACAAAAACUUUCCAAAAGAAGAAACACAGUCAUUGUGCGAACUGUUUAACAAGACUUUCAUUCACGCAACAGAUAAGCUGCGCAUUGCUCAUGGUACGAAUCGUCUCGAAUAUCAGCCAAUACUUUCAUGCACACAUACAGCGUACCUUCCUGAGAUAACAGAAACUGAGCUAUGGAAUAUAAUAGGUAAAAUGAAGAUGUUCAAACCACCAGGUUUUGAUAAGAUCCGCGUAAGAGAUCUGUACUACAACUUUAACAAACUAAAAGAUGUGAUUCUCAAAAUAUUAAACGGAAUAUUAGAAACCGGAAUGAUGCCCAAAGAAUUGAAAAUUUCGAUAGUGAGACCUGUGUACAAAAGUGGAAAGAAAAGUGACUGCGCAAACUAUAGACCAAUUUCUAUUAUACCUGCCCUGGCUCAUAUUUUGGAAAAGCACGUGGCUUCCGUUAUGCAGUCUUUCUGCGAUAAAUAUUCAUUAAACAACCCGGCACAAUAUGGGUUCACAAAGGACCGGAACACAACCACGCUCUUAGAACAAUUGUCGGAUUACAUUAACACUGCGAUAGAAAACAAUCGUCUUAUGCUAGCAUUAUUUUUAGACCUAUCAAAGGCAUUUGAUACUAUUGAUCACGCCUUAUUGUUGCAAAAGCUGGACAACCUAGGUUUCAGGGGCCGAUUUCAUCAAUUUUUUGAGGGAUAUUUCACCGACAGAUCACAGUGUGUAAGAAUUGAAAACAAAUACAGUGAAUUUAAGUCUAUAAAAUUCGGUGUUCCGCAAGGAAGUACUCUGGCCCCAUUACUAUUUAAUAUCUACGUCUCUGAACUGGGUUUUUUGAAUUUGAGAUCAAGAAUCUUCCAAUAUGCAGAUGACACAGCAUUAGCACUAGAACUCCCUGAUCUAGAUCUUGGGUGCAAAGUGUUUCAACAGGAUGUGUGCAGGGUAAUAGACUGGCUGACGCAAAAUUCAAUAUAUUUAAAUCGGCAAAAAACAAAGCUUAUCUGUUUUAGAAACCCACACAAACAAAUGCUCCUAAGGGAGUCUCUCUUUUUACAUAACUCUCAUUGCACUCCGUGCACAUGUAAUGCUAUACCAUUUGAACAUGCAAUCAGGUAUCUCGGAAUAAUAUUUGAUGAGCAUAUAACAUGGAAUUAUCAUGUGCAGUAUAUAUGUAACAGGCUUAGAGCUGUGUCUGCGAUGAUGUACAACCUAAGAGGUAAAACUUCGAUGCACUUGAGGCGCACCAUAUACAUGGCGCUGCCUGAAUCUAUUAUAACCUACGGUAUUACAUUGUAUGGAACUUGUUCUGAUCACAAAAUGGGAGCCAUAAACCGCAUAAUUAAAAGAAUAGUAAACAGUGUAACCUACGGAACUAUGCUGCAGCAAGCUGACAAGGAGGAACAAUACAAUAGGCUUGGCAUACUGGAAAUGCGUGAACUAUUUUAUUACACUGUGGUCACACGUCAUUACUAUGCAAAGGAUUUCAAAGUACCUGUCAAGAAAAACGUUGCCCUAAGAAAGAAGAAACAUACAUUAAGCCACGAUGCUUUACACAUUACGGGAAAAAAGUGCCACAGAUAUUUAAUGAACUUGGAGAAGCGCUUGGCAAUUUAAAAACUAAACGAAAAAUGACUAAAUCAAUAAGGAAAUGGUGCUCGUCAUUGCAGAUAAAUCACUGAUAGCCUCUUGCAUGUGGAAGGUUGCUUUCCUAGAUUUGCUCCUUGGAUAUUCUGUAAGUUGUCGUAUGGCUCAUUGUCAAGCUAUUAUGAUGUCCUUUAUUUAUUUUUUACUUAGUUUUAAUUUUGGCUCGAGUUGUAGUCAUUAUGUCUCUAUAGUUUUGUAUAAUAUGGUUAGUCUGUACUAGUAUGUCUUACUUCAUUGUUUUGUGGUACACGUUCGAUGAUUCACUGUGCUGCCUGAACAACCAACAAGCACGCUGUGCUUAGGUUGGACAGGAAAUGAAAACCUAUGUACCAAAUGAAGAUGAAUAAAAUUUUUGAUUUGA